rnacentral:rRNA from 1 species
ACACGUGAGCAACCUACCCUCAACUUCGGGAUAAGCCUCGCAAACGGGGUCUAAUACCGGAUAUCACCGCAUUCUUCAUGGUUUGUGGUUGAAAGUUCUGGCGGUUGGGGAUGGGCUCGCGGCCUAUCAACUUGUUGGUGGGGUAAUGGCCUACCAAGGCGUCGACGGGUAGCCGGCCUGAGAGGGCGACCGGCCACACUGGGACUGAGACACGGCCCAGACUCCUACGGGAGGCAGCAGUGGGGAAUNUUGCGCAAUGGACGAAAGUCUGACGCAUCAACGCCGCGUGAGGGAUGACGGCCUUCGGGUUGUAAACCUCUUUCAGCAGGGACGAAGCGAGAGUGACGGUACCUGCAGAAGAAGGACCGGCCAACUACGUGCCAGCAGCCGCGGUAAUACGUAGGGUCCGAGCGUUGUUCGGAAUUAUUGGGCGUAAAGGGCUCGUAGGCGGUUCGGC